AUUGAACGCUGGCGGCAUGCCUUACACAUGCAAGUCGAACGGUAACGGGCCUUCGGGUGCCGACGAGUGGCGAACGGGUGAGUAAUACAUCGGAACGUGCCCGAUCGUGGGGGAUAACGAGGCGAAAGCUUUGCUAAUACCGCAUACGAUCUACGGAUGAAAGCCGGGGACCGCAAGGCCUUGCGCGGACGGAGCGGCCGAUGGCAGAUUAGGUAGUUGGUGGGAUAAAAGCUUACCAAGCCGACGAUCUGUAGCUGGUCUGAGAGGAUGAUCAGCCACACUGGGACUGAGACACGGCCCAGACUCCUACGGGAGGCAGCAGUGGGGAAUUUUGGACAAUGGGCGCAAGCCUGAUCCAGCCAUGCCGCGUGCAGGAUGAAGGCCUUCGGGUUGUAAACUGCUUUUGUACGGAACGAAAAGCCUUCUUUUAAUACAGGAGGGUCAUGACGGUACCGGAAGAAUAAGCACCGGCUAACUACGUG
rnacentral:rRNA from 1 species